CAUAAACCUCUCUCUUUCUCUCUUUCUGUCUAUAAAGGGGGACAGUAUCUGUUUAUGUUACAGUAAUGUUGUGGGCAUUAGUUGCUUGAAAACUUUAAACACCAAGGAAGCCUUAUUACUAACAGAUGUCUCUCUAAUCCCAUAGGUUGGCAGCACAAAGCUUCUAUAAGCAUUCAGAUGAGGAGUUCUGGAAUCCAGUCAAAGCAAGUUUCUGUAGCUGAGAGUGUGUGGAAGGGAAAUCUUGCAAGAGAAAAGGAGUCGGGACAUGUUCACACAUAUCUGCCCUCAUUGGAAGUUGUGCUCUAGUUAUUAUGUUCCCCUUUCCAUCUGAAAAAGAGAACCAUCUGAGGAUCAGAGAAAUGAGAAGUUCAACGACGCUUUUAUGGUUUGUUUGUUGGCAAACACUUGGCCAUUUUUCUUUCCCCCCUCCCCUCCUUUCUCCUUUUUAAACUUGUUAAUUCUAGUUAGACCCAUUCCAGAUGAUCUUGGAGAGGACUGACAAG
ensembl:lncRNA